UCAUACCACGUUGAGUACACCGGUUCCAGUCAGAUCGUCGAAGUUAAUCAGCGUCGGGCUGUCAAUACUUAAAUGGGUGACCGCCUGGGAACACUGU